rnacentral:rRNA from 1 species
CAAGAUGAGAUUUCCCAUCGCGUCAAGCGAGUAAGAUCCCUUGAAGAUGACAAGGUAGAUAGGUCCGAGGUGGAAGCGUGGCGACACGUGCAGCUGACGGAUACUAAUCGAUCGAGGACUUAACUAAA